CGGAACAUGAAUUCUCGAUAAAUGCGACACCACAAUCAGAUGGACCAGCGAGAAGUCCGCGUAGCAGAUAAAACAGAGACGGAAAUAUCUAGACAGCAUAUUGAAGAACUUGAAAAUUGUAUUCCAUCUUAUAUACAGCAAAAUGACAAAAUAAAGGAAUAUAGAGCCACCUUUCCUAAGACCAUAAUACAAAAAGAAUUUGCCCACUACAAUUGAGUUACUGCCGUUUUCCUCACUUAAACCGAGAAUCAAGAUAUCGCAGGAUACAGAUUCCACAAGGAUCCGCAUUUGGAUGGCGACCUUAUCCAAUUUUGCAAGGCUUCUGAAAGAUCCAGGCUGCUGCGACAAGUAGACAUGUCAAGUAUUAGGCUUUGCACCCAGCAUCAGUUCCGCCUCUCCCGAUCACAUUGUGAUAUGCUAUUAUUGCAGCUGUUGCCACAAGGGGGAUAGCUUUGCCCCACUCGGGAGCUCCCAGUCCUUGGGUAUAUGCUUGGUAUUGGAAGGAAUCAUGCAGCCUGGACAAGGUCAAGAAAACUGAAGCAAAUCAGAUUUAUCAACAAAAAGGUCUAUGUUGUCCAAUAAAGUGAAGGAAGGCAUUUCAAAA
rnacentral:lncRNA from 1 species